GCAGCAUCGCCGCCUUUUUGGCUAAGAUCAUGUAGUAUCUGUUCUUAUCAGUUUAAUAUUCGAUACGCCCCUAUCCGGACUACAUAUUAAAUUGAUUUGGGAGCAAGGAGCUGGAGCGGGGCUUGCUCUGUCCACUCCACGCAUCGGCUGGUUUAUUGCCGUGUUGCCAGGAAACGGUUGUUCCACG